rnacentral:misc_RNA from 1 species
UCCGUGGAAAUUGCAACUUCAAUUUUACGUUUAUUUGGGUCUUUCGUGGCGGCGGAAAGAUGAACCCAUUGACGAAUAUUAGGAAUAUUAACAAGUUGAACGAGCUAGAGGCUGAAUAUGGAAUUUCCGAAAAGCAUUCAUGGCACCAGCAAUACAAAGACAGUGCCUACAUAUAUAUUGGUGGCCUACCAUAUGAUCUUACAGAGGGUGACAUCUUGUGUGUUUUCUCACAAUAUGGUGAAAUUGUCAACAUUAACCUAGUAAGAGAUAAAAAAACUGGAAAUUCAAAAGGCUUCUGUUUUAUUGCAUACGAGGAUCAGAGAAGUACAACUCUUGCAGUAGACAAUCUCAAUGGUUUCAAGAUUUUAGGCCGAACCAUUCGAGUGGAUCAUGUAAACCAGUACCGAGCUCCGAAAGAGAACGAUGAUGAUGGUGAUGAUUUGAAGCGUCUGCACAAAGAAGGAUGUGCCCCUAAAAUGUCAUCAUCUUCAGCACAAUCUGAAGAGGAACUGGUAUUACCACAAAAAGUUAGGAAAUCAAAAAAAGAUAAAAUAAAAUCUAAGAAAGCCAAAAAGGAAAAAAAGAAGAAAAAGAAAAGAAAGAAGGAAUCAAGUUCUGAAUCUGAGAGCAGUGAAGACAGUGAAGAAGAACGACCAAUAAAAAUCAAACAGGAAAAAUUUGAUCCAAGUUAUGAGCGUCGAGAAACUAAUCAAAGGACUGAACACAAUGAACGAAGAUGUGAUAAAUAUGAACAUGAAGAUAGCCGAGUUAGGUCUGAGAAAUUUUAUAGUUCCAUGGAGCGAAAUAGCAAGAAGCGAGUGGAAAGUUUUUCCAGUAGGAACAGGAGGGAUGAAGGAUAUACAGAAAAUGUUGAUAGAGGGCGCUGUGAUAGGAAACAAAAUGAGAGAACGGAGAGGAGUGAAUGGGACAGAGGCCAAAAUGAGAGGGCUGCACACGGUAGAGGAGAGAGAGAUAGAGGAGUGGAGAGAGAUAAGAAAAGAUGGGACAGAGAUAGUACAAGAGAGAAAUAUACAGAAAAAAGGGAACACUAUAGUGAAAGAAGAACUAGGUACAGCAGAAGUAGAAGUCCUGUAAGGAGGAAUGAUAAACAGGAUUAUAAUAGAGACUACAGAGACCGUAGGAGGUAACCAAAUAUCUGGAGUGGAGUUCAAAUAUAAAAAAAUUAGGGGUCACGGUUUAUAAUAGAGAGUAUAGAGACUACAGAGACCGUAGGAGGUAACCAAAUAUCUGGAGUGGAGUUCAAAUAUAAAAAAAUUAGGGGUCACGGAUUAUAAUAGAGAGUAUAGAGACUACAGAGACCGUAGGAGGUAACCAAAUAUCUGGAGUGGAGUUCAAAUAUAAAAAAAAUUAGGGGUCAAGGAUUAUAAUAGAGAGUAUAGAGACUACAGAGACCGUAGGAGGUAACCAAAUAUCUGGAGUGGAGUUCAAAUAUAAAAAAAAUUAGGGGUCACGGUUCAUUAAAGGGAAUUUGCAUUUUGGGAUAUACAGGAAGAACCAGUGGUGAUGCCAGUGGAAGAACUGUGGGAAUGGGUUGGGUUGUCGGGGCUCCUUUUGGAAAGAGUUGGCCCCACCGGUUGUGAAAAUCAACACAAUUUGUAAAGGAAAAUUAAUAAGCCAUUUAAAACCCAAGAAGUUCUGGGCCGACUCUGGUCCUGUUGGAGACAUCAGCACCUCCCCCUCAUCUUCCCCUUGUCAGGGAAAAUACUGGCACCAUCACUGCAAUAAAGAUUUCCCUGUUCUCCAGUGAAUAAGUGAGGGAAAUAUUUAAAUAGUUUUGAUUUUCUAUUUGGCUUUGACAAAUAGUGGAAAUUAUUUGAUAAAUAUUUGUAUAAAUUUAUACAGAUUAGAAUUAAAUGUAUUUUUGAGUCAUUAUUUUGAAUUGCUGUAGGGGUCGUUCAAUACAAAACCAUUCUGCAUUUUUUUGUAAAGUCAACUAAAGCAAUGUACUUAGUUGCUUAAAAACGAAUAUUAUAUCCAUGGUUACAUUAUAAUUUUACCAUUAUUUUACAUAUUGCAUAUUACAGUAUUUUGAAACAACAUUUUUAUGCAUAUGUAAAAGUGUACAAAUUUGUCUACCCCCUGCCCCCUAGCGUACUGUUUGUACACUUGUGAAAAACUCAGUUUUUGGUUUUCGUUAUUUAGCCUGAUUCUUGGCCAUAAUUCAGAACAGUGCGACAAGUGAGCAAAUUAAGCCUUGAAGUAGUAGGCAACAUCACUGAUGAGUAAAAUGUUCUACAAAUAUCCUGCUGAACAAAGUUUUCUCAAACAAUAGAGCUUAGUGUUUAACUUUUUCAGUUUGUUUCAGUAAGCUUUGAAGUAACACGUUCCUUUAAUGCAUACAAUCAUAAGUCAUACCUAUUACUUUUCCGGAGAUCAAUUCACAUUUUUCAAAUAAUCUCAGACUGGUAUAAAGAAUCAUUGUUAUUAUUCAAGAUAUUACAGUAGUGCUAAAAAGUUAUUAAAUAGCCUAAGGAGCA